UACGUAGGGGGCAAGCGUUGUCCGGAAUCAUUGGGCGUAAAGAGCGUGUAGGCGGACUUAAAGGUCUGGUGUGAAAGCCCGGGGCUCAACCCCGGAGGGUCACUGGAAACCAUAAGUCUUGAAUCUGGAAGAGGAGAGUGGAAUUCCUGGUGUAGCGGUGGAAUGCGUAGAGAUCCGGAGGAAGACCGGUGGCGAAGGCGGUCUGCUGGGCAGUAGCUGACGCUGAUGCGCGAGAGCGUGGGGAGCAACAGG
rnacentral:rRNA from 1 species